GUAGUAUCUGUUCUUAUCAGUUUAAUAUCUGAUACGUCCUCGAUGAGAGGACUUUAUAUUAAACGGAUUUUUGGGUUCGGGAGUUGGACCCGGAGCUUGCUCCCUCCGCUCCGCGCAUCGUCCCGGUAUUGCAGUGCCUCCGGGAACGGUGC
rnacentral:snRNA from 1 species